rnacentral:tRNA from 1 species
GGCCCAGUGGCCUAAUGGAUAAGGCAUCAGACUCUAGAGCUGGGGACUAUGGGUUUAAAUCCCACCUUGGUUA